UUUUACCAAAGUAACCUGUAGGAAAAAAUUGGCAAGCACCAAUCAACAAAAAGUCAAGAUACUUAAAAAGAGUAUGUGGUGGGUGCAGUGUCCCCAUCGAAUCUCUACUUAUUUGCAGAAGGAUCGCCCUCACUUGGGUGUACUUCUAUCUCAAUCCAACCCCUUAUAUCGAGGGUGGAUUCGUGAAGAGUCCCAGUAGACAGUCCAAGUGCACUUGUGAUCUCUGUUAGCAGUACAUGUCUUAGAGCAUAUGCUUUUGCUGCCACUUAAAAAGCGUAUGAAAAGUAUUUCUAGUCAGUACGAAAUCAAGAUGUGGUAAUUGUUGACAUGAAGGGAAACUUACACCAGGGACAUGGAUUAAUUUGGUUGUAGGAUCUGCAUCUGCUUCACCGAGUGGCUUCUUUUCUUUUUUUGAGUGAAGAUUUUGCGGUCAUUGUGUAGUUCGGUAUAAGCUACACGAUCUAUGGUUCAAAGAGUCCUUGUA
rnacentral:lncRNA from 1 species